ensembl:misc_RNA Metazoa_SRP Metazoan signal recognition particle RNA
GCCAGGUGUGGUGGCACACACCUGUAGUCCCAGCUACUUGGGAGGCUGAGGUGGGAGGAUUGCUUGAGCCUGGGAGGUUGAGGCUACAGUGAACUAUGAUCAUGCCACUGCUCUCCAGCCUGGGCAACAGAGCAAGACCCUAUCUCAA